rnacentral:misc_RNA from 1 species
GAUGAAGAACGUAGCGAAAUGCGAUAAGUAAUGUGAAUUGCAGAAUUCAGUGAAUCAUCGAAUCUUUGAACGCACAUUGCGCCCGCCAGUAUUCUGGCGGGCAUGCCUGUUCGAGCGUCAUUACAACCCUCAGGCCCCCGGGCCUGGCGUUGGGGAUCGGCGGAGCCCCCCGUGGGCACACGCCGUCCCCCAAAUACAGUGGCGGUCCCGCCGCAGCUUCCAUCGCGUAGUAGCUAACACCUCGCGACUGGAGAGCGGCGCGGCCACGCCAUAAAACACCCAACUCUUCUGAAGUUGACCUCGAAUCAGGUAGGAAUACCCGCUGAACUUAAGCAUAUCAAUAAGCGGAGGA